rnacentral:rRNA from 1 species
CACGUAGGCACCAAGCGUUGUCCGGAUUUAUUGGGCGUAAAGAGCUCGUAGGCGGUUCGGUAAGUCGGGUGUGAAAACUUUGGGCUCAACCCAAAGCGUGCAUUCGAUACUGCCGUGACUAGAGUUCGGUAGGGGAGCGGGGAAUUCCUAGUGUAGCGGUGAAAUGCGCAGAUAUCAGGAGGAACACCGGUGGCGAAGGCGGGUCUCUGGGCCGAUACUGACGCUGAGGAGCGAAAGCGUGGGGAGCGAACAGG